GGUAGGACUACCCGCUGAACUUAAG
rnacentral:rRNA from 3 species